rnacentral:rRNA from 1 species
GUACGGUGAACACCGGUAGACUUGCUCUGUGGGAUCAGUGGCGAACGGGUGAGUAACACGUGAGCAACCUGCCCCUGACUCUGGGAUAAGCGCUGGAAACGGCGUCUAAUACUGGAUAUGUGACGUGACCGCAUGGUCUGCGUUUGGAAAGAUUUUUCGGUUGGGGAUGGGCUCGCGGCCUAUCAGCUUGUUGGUGAGGUAAUGGCUCACCAAGGCGUCGACGGGUAGCCGGCCUGAGAGGGUGACCGGCCACACUGGGACUGAGACACGGCCCAGACUCCUACGGGAGGCAGCAGUGGGGAAUAUUGCACAAUGGGCGGAAGCCUGAUGCAGCAACGCCGCGUGAGGGAUGACGGCCUUCGGGUUGUAAACCUCUUUUAGCAGGGAAGAAGCGAAAGUGACGGUACCUGCAGAAAAAGCGCCGGCUAACUACGUGCCAGCAGCCGCGGUAAUACGUAGGGCGCAAGCGUUAUCCGGAAUUAUUGGGCGUAAAGAGCUCGUAGGCGGUUUGUCGCGUCUGCUGUGAAAUCCCGAGGCUCAACCUCGGGCCUGCAGUGGGUACGGGCAGACUAGAGUGCGGUAGGGGAGAUUGGAAUUCCUGGUGUAGCGGUGGAAUGCGCAGAUAUCAGGAGGAACACCGAUGGCGAAGGCAGAUCUCUGGGCCGUAACUGACGCUGAGGAGCGAAAGGGUGGGGAGCAAACAGGCUUAGAUACCCUGGUAGUCCACCCCGUAAACGUUGGGAACUAGUUGUGGGGUCCAUUCCACGGAUUCCGUGACGCAGCUAACGCAUUAAGUUCCCCGCCUGGGGAGUACGGCCGCAAGGCUAAAACUCAAAGGAAUUGACGGGGACCCGCACAAGCGGCGGAGCAUGCGGAUUAAUUCGAUGCAACGCGAAGAACCUUACCAAGGCUUGACAUAUACGAGAACGGGCCAGAAAUGGUCAACUCUUUGGACACUCGUAAACAGGUGGUGCAUGGUUGUCGUCAGCUCGUGUCGUGAGAUGUUGGGUUAAGUCCCGCAACGAGCGCAACCCUCGUUCUAUGUUGCCAGCACGUAAUGGUGGGAACUCAUGGGAUACUGCCGGGGUCAACUCGGAGGAAGGUGGGGAUGACGUCAAAUCAUCAUGCCCCUUAUGUCUUGGGCUUCACGCAUGCUACAAUGGCCGGUACAAAGGGCUGCAAUACCGUGAGGUGGAGCGAAUCCCAAAAAGCCGGUCCCAGUUCGGAUUGAGGUCUGCAACUCGACCUCAUGAAGUCGGAGUCGCUAGUAAUCGCAGAUCAGCAACGCUGCGGUGAAUACGUUCCCGGGUCUUGUACACACCGCCCGUCAAGUCAUGAAAGUCGGUAACACCUGAAGCCGGGG